UACAGAGGGGGCAAGCGUUGUUCGGAAUUACUGGGCGUAAAGAGUGUGUAGGCGGUGCUCUAAGUCUGUCGUGAAAUCUCCCGGCUUAACUGGGAGGGUGCGGCGGAAACUGGAAUGCUAGAGGGUGGGAGAGGAAAGCGGAAUUCCUGGUGUAGCGGUGAAAUGCGUAGAUAUCAGGAGGAACACCUGCGGUGUAGACAGCUUUCUGGACCACUUCUGACGCUGAGACACGAAAGCGUGGGUAGCAAACAGG
rnacentral:rRNA from 1 species